rnacentral:piRNA from 1 species
AACCAACGUGACCGACUGGGGACUCUCUGAU